rnacentral:rRNA from 1 species
GAGGAGUAUUGGCCAAUGGGCGAGAGCCUGAACCAGCCAAGUAGCGUGCAGGAUGACGGCCCUCCGGGUUGUAAACUGCUUUUAGUUGGGAAUAAAAAAAGGGACUUGUCCCUUCUUGUAUGUACCUUCAGAAAAAGGACCGGCUAAUUCCGUGCCAGCAGCCGCGGUAAUACGGAAGGUCCAGGCGUUAUCCGGAUUUAUUGGGUUUAAAGGGAGCGUAGGCGGAUUGUUAAGUCAGCGGUUAAAGGGUGUGGCUCAACCAUGCAUUGCCGUUGAAACUGGCGAUCUUGAGUGCAGACAGGGAUGCCGGAAUUCGUGGUGUAGCGGUGAAAUGCUUAGAUAUCACGAAGAACUCCGAUCGCGAAGGCAGGUGUCCGGGCUGCAACUGACGCUGAGGCUCGAAAGUGUGGGUAUCAAACAGGAUUAGAUACCCUGGUAGUCCACACAGUAAACGAUGUAUACUCGCGGUUUGCGAUAGACAGUAAGCCGCCAAGCGAAAGCAUUAAGUAUACCACCUGGGAGUACGCCGGCAACGGUG